rnacentral:lncRNA from 1 species
GUGGCCAGAGGCCGCCUUGUCCGCCUCAUUAUUUUUAACCCCGAACUGAUUCAGGGCCUACCGGGGGCGGGGCGGGAAGCGGUGUCUUCACGUUCCAUUCCUCCCACUGAGGCAGGGGAGCAAAUGGAAACCGUACGCGCUUGAAGUGGGAGUUGGGGUUGCUUAUUGUUUUAGUCAUUUUAAGGCGGCGGACUCUUGAUUUCUCCAGUCGGAGCGACUCCAGGUGGUUUCGGGAGAGACG